rnacentral:lncRNA from 1 species
AUAAAUAUAGCUUCUAUUAUAAAUAUCACAGUCUAGCAAUACAGCACAUGAUUUUAUCACAAAUACACAUUAAAUAAAUCUAAAGCUUGAGUAUUUCAAACUUAAUAAUGUAUUACUCUUUUCAUAAGAAGAAAUAAACGAACUUCCAGAAAAAAUACUUCAAUUGUACAAAAAAAAGAGGAAAUCAUUUUCACAUAUAUAAAAAAAUAUCCCUAUGAUGUAAAAUCACAUUUACUACAUGGCACCAUGGUUUAAUUAACUCUAUGAUAAUUUACUAUUAAGCCCUGCUGAGUGUCAAAAAUCUACGAAAUAAAUAUCUAGUGGAAACAAGUUGUAAUACUGCUAUUCGUUUAUCUGAUUGAAAUACAGAUUUUGGGUCUGUCCUUUGUUUGACAACAAUCUGGUUCUACUUUAUGGUAUAAAGGCCUUUUGGGGUUCUCUGGGAUUUUCAUAACGAUAUACACUUUCAAAAAUUUGAAAGCUAAAAUUUCAUUGGCUGAUGUAAUGAUUACCAUAACAGAAAGUAGAAUCAAAAUGGAGAUAUUAUAUAGUGUCUUUAACAAUAUUAAAAGAGUAAAAUUACUAUAUUCAACUGGUAACGAUAUAUAUCAAUUAAAUUAAUUUGCAUUAAAGUCUAUGGAAAAUCUAGAGGAUUCAAUCCGCAUCACCUCUCAACAUUGUUUACAUAACACAAAUGCUAAUCAUUGAUUGGUCAGUUACAUGUUGUGAUGUCACUGUAGAUCUGAAAAUUGUUGCAGGCAAACUUGAGACACAGGAUCUGUAUUGUAAUUAGAUAGGCAAUUCUACAUCUACAAUGACUAGACAAAAAGUGCAAUAAACUCUUCAUAGAAAACUCUCAACUAUCACAGACACAACUUGUAGUAUUAUUUAAGUUUAUGUGCAAACAAUUAUAACAUACAAAUAGGGAAUUAAAAUCUUAAUUAACAUUUAGUAACAUUCAUCCUUAAGCAUGUUC